UGAAGCCAGAAGGCGGCUCUCUUCCUCACUGGGUGGAGCCUGAGCAUAGGAGGCCUCAAAGCCCACCUAUGCAAUGACACAUUUCCUUCAACAGGGCCAUAUCUCCUCCAAUAAGACCAUACCUCCUAAUAGUGCUAUUUCCUAUGGCUAAGCAUUCAAGCUACCACAAAGUCUAAUUUUAAAAAAGUUAGCUUAAAAUCUGUAACAACAACAACAAAAGAGUUAAUACUUAAAAGUGUAUGUAAAGGAGGCAACAGCAGGCCUCAAAAUAUUUUUGGCGAUAGAUUUUUGUCCUGAGAGUGAAAAAUAACAGUUGAGGUCAAAGCCAUGAACAAGACACCCCUUCUCUCAGAACCCCUCUCCAGGCCAAGGCUGGUCCUUGACAAAUCAGUUAACCUACCUGACCAGCUCAGAUCAGCUCAACAUCCUUCAGGACCAGCUGGACACCUGGACUGAUGCAGUGCUUCGAGUCUCUUCAGGAAUACAGGAUGGCAAUUUCCUGACCCUCCCCUUGCUACCUGACUGGAGGACUACCUCUUCAGUGGAUCCAGAGCUACCUCCUCUGACAAAGACAGAAAACAGCUAUAAGUCCACUGAGGUUUUGUUUUAAAUAAAC